UGUCUCGGAUUAGCUAUCGCACAAAAUGCUGUGUAGCAUUACAUCACGACUGAGUCCUUGAGCUCGCAUACCUCCCGAACAUGCUGGGAUGGUUGUCAAUCGUGGGUCCAACAGGCUUCUGUUGUUUUUUUAGUGCACCAGAUUGUACAGGUUCCCAAGGUUAAAGAAAACACAACAUGUUAUUCAGUGAGGUUUGUGUUCAUUCCCGUGCUGUUUCUGGAGGUUACAUUAUAAUGCGAGACACAGCUGAGUAGCAAAUGUUCCACAGCGGACAGGGAGAAAGUUUUGAAAGUUUGCGCGAAACUUCGUGACCGAGCAUCUCACGCGUGGAUGACAUUCUGUGUUUUACACACACUCACACACACAUACUUUGAAUCGGAAAGUCUAGCUUUUUUCGGCACAGUGAAUUAAAAUCUCUACACAGCACGGACUACAGGACAUUUACGGGACCAAAAAAAGGGAAGUGUUGGGAAUUUCUAGAAACAGCCGUCCCGGGCUGACGUCACUGGGACGGCUCCUCUACUCUGGAGAUGGUCUGCACACUCGGUCGCGGGGGAAGAGUUACUGAACAAGGCAGAAUGAGCAAAGUCCUGCUUUUUGUCUCCUCGGUCCUGCUGUGUUGCUGCCGGACCACACGGGCAGAGAUCUUUACAUCCAUUGGCCAAAUGACAGACCUGAUCUACACAGAAAAGGAGCUGGUUCAGUCUCUGAGGGAGUACAUCAAAGCAGAGGAGUCCAAGCUGGCCGCUGUAAAAAGCUGGGCCAAUAAACUUGAUGCCCUGACCCGAGUGUCCACCGCUGACCCAGAAGGCUACCUGGCUCACCCAGUGAAUGCCUAUAAACUGAUGAAGAGACUCAACACUGAGUGGUCUGAACUGGAGAGCUUAGUACUUCAGAAUCCCGCUGAUGGGUUCGUCUCCAACAUGUCCGUACACAGACAAUAUUUCCCAGACGAGGAAGAUGAGACGGGUGCAGCCAAGGCGUUGAUGCGCCUGCAGGACACGUACCAACUGGAUUCUGAAGCCUUCUCCAAAGGAAAGCUGCCAGGUGUGCACUCCAAUGCUGUACUGACCGUGGAUGACUGCUUCGACAUGGGAAAGACUGCUUACAACGAUGCAGACUAUUACCAUGCCGUGCUGUGGCUGCAGCAGGCCUUGAAACAGCUGGACGAUGGCGAGGAAGCUGUGGUUUCCAAGGCAGACAUUUUGGACUACCUCAGCUACUCUGUUUACCAAAUGGGUGACCUCCCUCGAGCCAUUGAACUGACGCGACGGCUUGUAGCUAUUGAUCCCAGCCACCAGAGGGCAGGAGGAAACCUCCGUUAUUUUGAGCAGCUACUGAUGAAGCAGCUCCGUGAGAUGAACCAAGACUACCAGCCUCCAUCUGAGGAGCCCAUUCAGCUGGGAACCUACAGUAGACCCAAAGACCAUCUCCCUGAGAGAGAGUCCUAUGAGGCUCUGUGCAGAGGAGAGGGGAUCCAAAUGACUGAAGCGAGGAGGAGCCGUCUGUUUUGUCGCUACCAUGACGGGAAAAGAAACCCUCGUCUUCUGCUGAAGCCUGUUAAAGAAGAGGACGAGUGGGACAGCCCCCACAUUGUGCGCUACCUGGAUUCGUUGUCAGAUGAGGAGGUGGAGAAGAUCAAAGAACUGGCCAAACCCAGGCUUGCAAGAGCCACUGUCCGUGAUCCCAAAACAGGUGUCCUGACCACAGCCAACUACAGAGUCUCGAAAAGUGCGUGGUUAGAAGGAGAGGAGGACCCCGUCAUUGACAGAGUCAAUCAGAGAAUAGAAGACAUCACCGGUCUCACAGUAGAAACUGCAGAGUUAUUGCAGGUUGCAAACUAUGGCGUGGGAGGACAGUAUGAGCCACAUUUUGACUUCUCCAGGCGUCCUUUUGACAGCAACCUCCACGUCGAUGGAAAUAGACUUGCUACCUUCCUAAACUACGUAAGUAAUGUGUGUGCAGUUUGUUAUUAUGUAUCUUCACUCUUAAAUUUUAUCUUUAUAGAAAGAUGAGCCAGAUGCUUUCAAAAGAUUAGGCACUGGAAAUCGUUUGGCGACUUAUUUAAACUACAUGAGUGAUGUUGAGGCAGGAGGUGCCACAGUCUUCCCUGACUUUGGAGCAGUAAUCUGGCCAAGAAAGGGAACAUCGGUGUUCUGGUAUAAUUUGUUCAGGAGUGGCGAGGGAGACUAUAGGACCAGACAUGCAGCCUGUCCUGUCCUAGUAGGAAGCAAAUGGGUCUCAAAUAAGUGGAUUCAUGAGCGAGGUCAAGAGUUCAGAAGACCCUGUGGCCUGACAGAAGUGGACUGAAACUGACUUUACUCCUACACAGAACCCAUGCUAUCUUGCAUAGAUGGAGCGCUUUAGGUUGAAGUUGUAAAAUGUUGCUUUUUUUGUUUCUUUCUUUGUUUUUUGUUUGUGUGUGCUUUGUGUGUUUGUUUGUUUGUUCUAUACAUGGAUUGCAUUUUGUGAACUGACUCACCCGCUCACUUGCUGGUCAGUCCAGUCUGUGUGUCCACUGCUCUGUUCAUCAUCCAGUCCCAGAAGAUGAUUUUUACAAGUCUGUGUGGGAGGUUUGAGAUUUUUUGGUUUUGUUUGUUUGUAUUUGUUUUGUUUUUUUUGUUUUGUUUUUUUUUUAAACUGAAAAAUAACUCAGAACUUUGUUGUGCAUGGUCAUGCCACCCACACAUCAUUAAAUGGGCAAUUUAAAUUAAGAAUGAGAUAAACUGUGUCCUGAAAUGGAAUUAACAAAUAAACACUGAAAAAACACAAA